GAUGAACGCUGGCGGCGUGCCUAAUACAUGCAAGUCGAGCGAACGGACGAGAAGCUUGCUUCUCUGAUGUUAGCGGCGGACGGGUGAGUAACACGUGGAUAACCUACCUAUAAGACUGGGAUAACUUCGGGAAACCGGAGCUAAUUCCGGAUAAUAUUUUGAACCGCAUGGUUCAAAAGUGAAAGACGGUCUUGCUGUCACUUAUAGAUGGAUCCGCGCUGCAUUAGCUAGUUGGUAGGGUAACGGCUUACCAAGGCAACGAUGCAUAGCCGACCUGAGAGGGUGAUCGGCCACACUGGAACUGAGACACGGUCCAGACUCCUACGGGAGGCAGCAGUAGGGAAUCUUCCGCAAUGGGCGAAAGCCUGACGGAGCAACGCCGCGUGAGUGAUGAAGGUCUUCGGAUCGUAAAACUCUGUUAUUAGGGAAGAACAUAUGUGUAAGUAACUGUGCACAUCUUGACGGUACCUAAUCAGAAAGCCACGGCUAACUACGUG
rnacentral:rRNA from 1 species